AAGUCGUAACAAGGUUUCCGUAGGUGAACCUGCGGAAGGAUCAUUACAAUACGUUACUUCACGUAUCAACCCAACUGUUGAACUGUUUUAAAGCGUCCGAUAGGAAAGAGAUGGGUUAUGAGGAAUCGAUGGCUUUGGAAGCUACGCGCUUCGGUCGGUUUCUUUUUUCUGGUUCUUUGUGACCGGAAGCCCUUUUUUCCUAGUUCGCGUAUUUUAUUCAAUCAUUUUUUUUACCCCUUUCACCAAACUAUUAUUUUAAACAACUGUUGAACUUAUGUGAUUGCUGAAAAGCGAUCUCUUUAUUUCUUUACGAAACGUAAGAACAACUCUUAACAACGGAUAUCUUGGCUCUC
rnacentral:misc_RNA from 1 species